UACGGAGGGUGCAAGCGUUGUCCGGAAUGAUUGGGCGUAAAGCGUGCGCAGGCGGCAAUGUAAGUCUGCUGUCAAAGCGUCUGGCUCAACCAGAUAAAGGCAGUGGAAACUACAUAGCUAGAGUAAGGUAGGGGUAGAGGGAAUUCCUGGUGUAGCGGUGAAAUGCGUAGAGAUCAGGAAGAACACCGGUGGCGAAAGCGCUCUGCUGGCCCUUAACUGACACUGAGGGACGAAAGCUAGGGGAGCGAACAGG
rnacentral:rRNA from 1 species